AGAGUUUGAUCAUGGCUCAGAACGUACGCUGGCGGCACGCCUAACACAUGCAAGUCGAACGAAGUAGCAAUACUUAGUGGCAGACGGGUGAGUAACAUGUGGGUAUCUACCCUUUGGCCUGGAAUAACACGAGGAAACUUGUGCUAAUACCGGAUAAGUCUUUACGGAGAAAGCUUUAUGCACCAUUGGAUGAGCCUGCACUUGAUUAGUUUGUUGGUGGGGUAAUGGCCUACCAAGACUGUGAUCAAUAGCUGAUUUGAGAGGAUGAUCAGCCACAUUGGGACUGAGACACGGCCCAAACUCCUACGGGAGGCAGCAGUGGGGAAUCUUGCACAAUGGAGGAAACUCUGAUGCAGCGAUGCCGCGUGAGUGAAGAAGGCCCUUGGGUUGUAAAGCUCUUUCGUCGGGGAAGAAAAUGACUGUACCCGAAUAAGAAGGUCCGGCUAACUUCGUGCCAGCAGCCGCGGUAAUACGAAGGGACCUAGCGUAGUUCGGAAUUACUGGGCUUAAAGAGUUCGUAGGUGGUUGAAAAAGUUGGUGGUGAAAUCCCAGAGCUUAACUCUGGAACUGCCAUCAAAACUUUUCAGCUAGAGUAUGAUAGAGGAAAGCAGAAUUUCUAGUGUAGAGGUGAAAUUCGUAGAUAUUAGAAAGAAUACCAAUUGCGAAGGCAGCUUUCUGGAUCAUUACUGACACUGAGGAACGAAAGCAUGGGUAGCGAAGAGGAUUAGAUACCCUCGUAGUCCAUGCCGUAAACG
rnacentral:rRNA from 1 species